rnacentral:rRNA from 1 species
GACGAACGCUGGCGGCGUGCCUAACACAUGCAAGUCGAACGGGGUCAGUUGCUUCGGUGAUUGACUUAGUGGCGAACGGGUGAGUAACGCGUGAGGAACCUGCCUUUCAGUGGGGGACAACAGUUGGAAACGACUGCUAAUACCGCAUAAUGUAGCGAGACCGCAUGGUCUUACUGCCAAAGCUUUAUGUGCUGAAAGAUGGCCUCGCGUCUGAUUAGCUAGUUGGUGGGGUAACGGCCCACCAAGGCGACGAUCAGUAGCCGGUCUGAGAGGAUGAACGGCCACAUUGGGACUGAGAUACGGCCCAGACUCCUACGGGAGGCAGCAGUGGGAAUAUUGGGC